GAUGAACGCUGGCGGCGUGCUUAACACAUGCAAGUCGAGCGGGCAAUUUAUCUAGCACUGAUUACUUCAAAUGGCUAUCGCCAGUGUAAUCAUGAAUUUCUACCUUUUAAUAAAGAAAAAGAAAUUCAUGUACGCAAAUAGUGAUAACACAUUUUAGUGGAGUGAUGAGUGCUGGAUAAAUUGCUAGCGGCGGACGGGUGCGUAACACGUGGGUAACCUGCCCCUAUCACUGGGAUAACACACUGAAAAGUGUGCUAAUACCAGAUAACAUAAGCUUUUGGCAUCAUUAGCUUAUCAAAGAAUUUCGGAUAGGGAUGGGCCCGCGUCUGAUUAGCUUGUUGGUGAGGUAACGGCUCACCAAGGCAACGAUCAGUAGCCGACCUGAGAGGGUGAUCGGCCACACUGGAACUGAGACACGGACCAGACUCCUACGGGAGGCAGCAGUGAGGAAUAUUGGUCAAUGGGCGAAAG
rnacentral:rRNA from 1 species